rnacentral:sRNA from 1 species
CCAGACCCAACCACAGCACUCACAUGGGCAUAGCGUCGAUUGCCAGCGCCACCCAAAAGUCUGGAGCCAAACAUCGCACUUUAUCCAAAUCUGUGUUGCUAUUCCGCUGACCGCAGGUGUGCCUGUGACCACGGCGGAAUAUCAAUGCGAGAACAAAUGUACAUUCGAACCUUACGCAAACGCUUAAUGCGAAAGUGAUCCGGGGAAAUUUAUGGAGCCCAAAUUGGUUAUAAUUUAGCAGAACUCAAUCCGGACUUGAGCUUCCCACACAGAAACUAAGAGAAGAAGGGUGUC